UACAGAGGUCUCAAGCGUUUGUUCGGAUUCAUUGGGCGUAAAGGGUGCGUAGGUGGCGCGGUAAGUCGGGUGUGAAAUUUCGGAGCUUAACUCCGAAACUGCAUUCGAUACUGCUGUGCUUGAGGACUGGAGAGGAGACUGGAAUUUACGGUGUAGCAGUGAAAUGCGUAGAUAUCGUAAGGAAGACCAGUGGCGAAGGCGGGUCUCUGGACAGUUCCUGACACUGAGGCACGAAGGCCAGGGGGAGCAAAACGGGG
rnacentral:rRNA from 1 species